UACUACUAAUUUUAUGAAGAAAAACUGAUUUGAAGUAGGCUUGUCUUCACUGCUUCCAUGAAGACAGAAAAGUCCCACAAGGAUAUUCUGAGCGCAACCAUGACCAGCGCACUCUGCAGAAAAUACAAAGGAGCCCAAUGUACCCGGAACGCUUCACGCCUGGAAG